UACAGAGGUCUCAAGCGUUGUUCGGAUUCAUUGGGCGUAAAGGGUGCGUAGGCGGCGCGGUAAGUCGGGUGUGAAAUCUCGGAGCUUAACUCCGAAACUGCAUUCGAUACUGCCGUGCUUGAGGACUGGAGAGGAGACUGGAAUUUACGGUGUAGCGGUGAAAUGCGUAGAUAUCGUAAGGAAGACCAGUGGCGAAGGCGGGUCUCUGGACAGUUCCUGACGCUGAGGCAACGGAAGGUCAGGGGAGCAAACGGG
rnacentral:rRNA from 1 species